UUUAAGGUUUAAUCUGCUCAAUGAUUAUUUAAAUUGCCGCAGUAUUUUGACUGUGCAAAGGUAGCAUAAUAAUUAGUUUCUUUAUUGGGAACUGGAAUGAAUGAUUGGACGAGAAAAUUUCUGUCUCUUUAUUAUUUUAAUUGAAUUUUACUUUUAAGUUAAAAGGCUUAAAUUUUAUUAGAGGACGAGAAGACCCUAUAGAGUUUAAUUUUUAUUUAAAUAAUUAUUUUUAGUAUUUAUAUAUAUUAUUUAAAUAAAAAUUUAGUUGGGGUGACUAAAAGAUAAGAAUAACUCUUUUAAUUUUUAUCAAUUAUUUUUGAUUAUAAAAUCUUUAUUUUUAAUUUUAAAAUAAAUUACCUUAGGGAUAACAGCGUAAUUCUUUUUUAAAGUUCUUAUUAAAAGAAGAGUUUGCGACCUCGAUGUUGGAUUAAAAUUAAUUUUAGGUGUAGAAGCUUGAAAAUUAAGUCUGUUCGACUUUUAAAAUUUUACAUGAUCUGAGUUUAAACCGGUGUGAGCCAGGUUGGUUUCU
rnacentral:rRNA from 1 species